UUGAUACUGUUUGGCUUGAAUUAUUUGGAAGUAACUAGAAUAUGUAGUGUAGCGGUGAAAUGCUUAGAGAUUACAUGGAAUACCAAUUGCGAAGGCAGGUUACUACAAAUUGAUUGACGCUGAUGGACGAAAGCGUGGGUAGCGAACAGGAUUAGAUACCCUGGUAGUCCACGCCGUAAACGAUGGAUACUAGCUGUUGGGAGCAAUCUCAGUGGCUAAGCGAAAGUGAUAAGUAUCCCACCUGGGGAGUACGUUCGCAAGAAUGAAACUCAAAGGAAUUGACGGGGGCCCGCACAAGCGGUGGAGCAUGUGGUUUAAUUCGAUGAUACGCGAGGAACCUUACCAAGGCUUAAAUGUAGAUUGACCGGUUUGGAAACAGACUUUUCGCAAGACAAUUUACAAGGUGCUGCAUGGUUGUCGUCAGCUCGUGCCGUGAGGUGUCAGGUUAAGUCCUAUAACGAGCGCAACCCCUGUUGUUAGUUGCCAGCGAGUCAUGUCGGGAACUCUAGCAAGACUGCCAGUGUAAACUGUGAGGAAGGUGGGGAUGACGUCAAAUCAUCACGGCCCUUACGCCUUGGGCUACACACGUGCUACAAUGGCCGGUACAGAGAGCAGCCACUACGCAAGUAGGAGCGAAUCUACAAAACCGGUCUCAGUUCGGAUCGGAGUCUGCAACUCGACUCCG
rnacentral:rRNA from 1 species